GAUGCUACAGUUCAAGACACUGCAGUAUUGUAGGAAACUGAUUUUACAUCCAUUUCAGUCCAGAUUCAGGUUUGACUUUGGGAUUGAAGCAGACUCCUACUGGAUGACCUUAAUUAGGAGAGACAAGAGGAAUGCAGUCUUACUAUUUUGUUUGAUCUUUUGAUGACUUUUGUUUCCAAUUGUGCUACCCUACUGAAUUGCUUCUGUGGGCUAGGGACUUUCUCCUGCAGUUCACACAGAAUAUGGUGGAAAAAAGUGUAUUUUAGAAACUUUCAAAGAAGAAAAUGAAGGCAUCCUUAUGGGUGAAAUAUGACGUUUUCACUUUUAUGAGGAAUCUAAUCUCCUGUUUUAAUUGCACGAUAUCUUUCUAGCAGUCUGAAGUUUCUUUAGAUUCCUGUUUCACUAUUUAAGGGAUCUUGCAUCUUGAGGAGCCAGACAGACAUUUGGAUAGAUGGACUAUAAAGCUACUAAUGAUCUACAAAGUUAUUUGACCAAUAUGCAUGCUCCCUCGAUAUACAUUCUUGUGAAUUUAGAUGAUGGCUUACAGUCCCUGAUCACUUCUGCUGCUUUUGUCUGGAUAUCUUCCAGUUUCGCUGAACCCUUCAUAAAGCUUGGUGCACAAAACUAAACUUAAUAUUCAAGGUGAACAAAACAAAAUAGCAUAAUUAUUAUUUUCUGUGUUUUGGAAAGGUUUGCUAAAAUAUUACAAAACAAA